rnacentral:rRNA from 1 species
UACGUAGGGGGCAAGCGUUGUCCGGAAUCAUUGGGCGUAAAGCGCGUGUAGGCGGUUCAGUAAGUCUGCUGUGAAAGUCCAGGGCUCAACCCUGGGAUGCCGGUGGGUACUGUCGGGCUAGAGUCCGGAAGAGGCGAGUGGAAUUCCUGGUGUAGCGGUGAAAUGCGCAGAUAUCAGGAGGAACACCUACGGCGAAGGCAGCUCGCUGGGACGGUACUGACGCUGAGACGCGAAAGCGUGGGGAGCAAACAGG